rnacentral:rRNA from 1 species
UGAGAAACCUGCCCUGGACUUGGGAAUAACAGUCGGAAACGUCUGCUAAUACCGAAUACCUUCGUAGCGUCGCAUGGCGCAUCGAAGAAAGCUUUUGCGGUCUGGGAGGGUCUCGCGGCCUAUCAGCUAGUUGGUGAGGUAACGGCUCACCAAGGCAUCGACGGGUAGCUGGUCUGAGAGGAUGAUCAGCCACACGUGGGACUGAGACACGGCCCAGAUCCCGUACGGGG